GAACAGUCCGUCCUGCAGUCAAGUCUCUUCAUGUGAGCUCUCUGCCGAUCUCGUUUCCUGGGGGAUCCUGACCAACUUCCUGGUUCGAACCGAUUUCUCAAAGGAAGUAAAUUUCACACUGUCAGCCCUGUUGCUCUUCUAGUUUGUUCCUGACUCUUGCCUUUUCCCUAUGGGAGAGAUCAUCUCUGUGCACAUUGGCAAUCCCAAAAGAUGGCAGAGAAAAGGGGAAGCAGCGAGUGCUGGGCACGAAAGCAUUUGAAGGAUCCUGGCCCACAGCUCCCAAGGUGUGGCAGAGGCAAAGCAGGAACCGCGCUGAUGGCCAAAGUGGGGAGACGUAAGAAGACAGUGCCAUCCCGCAGAUGUAAGUGUUCAGCAUGCCAUCUGAAGGAUUUACCACAGAGACAAAAAGCAAAGAAGUUAUGCCAGAAAAAGAACGAGAAGACAAGUCAGCAGCAUAUGUCAAUGCCCUGGUCGAAGAUGCUGCUUGAAUCCCCGUGGUUCCGUGUCAUGACUUCUCCCAUGACCAGUGAGAAGAAAAGCCUCUUUCCAUGCAGGCCCAAGACCACCAUAAUCAUCAUUGAUCAUUCCCCUGUGCUCUAGGUCUCUAAAUAAAA